GAUGAACGCUGGCGGCGUGCCUAAUACAUGCAAGUCGAGCGAACGGACGAGAAGCUUGCUUCUCUGAUGUUAGCGGCGGACGGGUGAGUAACACGUGGAUAACCUACCUAUAAGACUGGGAUAACUUCGGGAAACCGGAGCUAAUACCGGAUAAUAUUUUGAACCGCAUGGUUCAAAAGUGAAAGACGGUCUUGCUGUCACUUAUAGAUGGAUCCGCGCUGCAUUAGCUUGUUGGUAAGGUAACGGCUUACCAAGGCAACGAUUCAUAGCCGACCUGAGAGGGGGGGCGGGCACACUAGAACGGAGACACGGUCCAGACUACGACGGGAGGCGGCAGAAGAGAAUGUUACGCAAUGGGAGAGAGGCUGACGGAGCAACGCCGAGUGGGGGAUGAAGGUCUUCGGAUCGUAAAACUAUGUUAUUAGGGAAGAACAUAUGUGUAAGUAACUGUGCACAUCUUGACGGUACCUAAUCAGAAAGCCACGGCUAACUACGUG
rnacentral:rRNA from 1 species